AGAGUUUGAUCCUGGCUCAGAUUGAACGCUGGCGGAAUGCUUUACACAUGCAAGUCGAACGGCAGCACGGGGGCAACCCUGGUGGCGAGUGGCGAACGGGUGAGUAAUACGUAGGAACMUGUCCUGUAAUGGGGGGUAACSCMCCSRRRGGKGKGSUAAUACCGCAUACGCCCUGAGGGGGAAAGCGGGGGAUUCGAAAGAACCUCGCGUUAUAGGAGUGGCCUACGGCUGAUUAGCUAGUUGGUGAGGUAAAGGCUUACCAAGGCGACGAUCAGUAGCUGGUCUGAGAGGAUGAUCAGCCACACUGGAACUGAGACACGGUCCAGACUCCUACGGGAGGCAGCAGUGGGGAAUUUUGGACAAUGGGGGAAASCSUGAUCCAGCCAUUCCGCGUGAGUGAAGAAGGCCUUCGGGUUGUAAAGCUCUUUCAGGAGGGAAGAAACGGUUGCAGCUAAUACCUGCGACUAAUGACGGUACCUUCAGAAGAAGCACCGGCUAACUACGUGCCAGCAGCCGCGGUAAUAC
rnacentral:rRNA from 1 species